rnacentral:lncRNA from 1 species
GUGAUGUUAUUCCUGGGCUUAGCAGAGGUUUGGCAUAAGAGAUUAAAACAUCAUAACUUCUAAGUAGAGAAGUAAAGUUUUACAGAGGAGAUAUUAAGAAUUCAUGGAAUCACAGAAUUAUUAAAGUUGGAAAUAACCACUAAGAUCAUCCAGUCCAACCAUCAGCCUACCCCCACCAUGCCCACUGACCAUGUCCCUCAGUGCCACACCCACACGGUUCUUCAACACCUCCAGGGAUGGUGACUCCACCACCUCCCUGAGCAGCCUACAUCUGAACACAGCACUCAAGGUGCAGCCUCACCAGUGCAGAGUACAAAAAUGUUGCCCUUUUCAGCAUCCCUUUUCUGUACUGUGUACGAUUCCGGAGUUACAUCUUUUCUCAACUGUUAGCACUUUCCCAAGUAAUACUGGUUUUUCUCUCUUUAUUCACAGCUGUUUCUGUUCUAAACUCGGCUCCUCAUGCUCUCAGGCCAAUCAUGUCAAUCUGGUGGAGUAAAGGUCUAAAGGAAGUCAGACCAAUGUAACUGUGUGGACACCCGCUUUGUUAAAAGGAUGGGAAAACCUUCUCCUUGGAGACCUUAGAUGAAAAAUUGAUGGUUGAAAGAUUUCAUAUGGAACAUACAACAAAAACCUCAAGGUGCUACAAAUUUCUUCUUCUUGUUGAGGCUGACAUUGGGAUCAGGAUUUACCCAGUCCCCUGGCAACUCUUACCAGCAAGAGUGCCCUUUCCAUGCUGCAGCCUGGAGCUUACUACUACUGGGAGCAGACUACAACAAAAGCAUGGUGCACAGACACAGCUCACAGCGGAUUUCUUCUGCCCAGUGGU